UACGAAGGGGGCUAGCGUUGUUCGGAAUUACUGGGCGUAAAGCGCGUGUAGGCUGCUGCGCAAGUCGGAUGUGAAAUCCCACGGCUCAACCAUGGAAGUGCAUUCGAAACUGCGUAGCUAGAGUUUUGGAGAGGAAGGCGGAAUACUCGGUGUAGAGGUGAAAUUCGUAGAUAUCGAGUGGAACACCAGUGGCGAAGGCGGCUCACUGGCCCGUUACCGACGCUCAGGCGCGACAGCGUGGGGAGCAAACAGG
rnacentral:rRNA from 1 species